rnacentral:ncRNA from 1 species
UAACCAUCCCGAGCGGCUGAGAGACCUGGCUCUAUGACGCCGCAGCAACCCUGGUCACGACGAAUCUCCCUGGAUUCGCGCUGAUAACAAGGAACUUGUCGAGGGCUGCGCCGAACAAGCGCAGUAAGACCUGUUCCGUAGGGUGCUACUGCCAGGACCGAUGGAGU